CUCCAGCUUUGCACCGCCUUUUGGGAGGCGGCUGCUGCUUCCUGAGCCCCGCAGUGUGAGGUGUGUGCGGUGUGAGCCUCCCCGCCACCGUCUGCCUGGGAAGCGCGAGCAGCGUUUGUGUGCCAUCCGCAAUGGGCUGAAUGUUUUGGAGAAGAGAUCCUCAGAAGGAACACGGGAGGUGCGUUGGGACGCCUUCGCUCUGCACAGAGAUAAAGCCAGAGGGAUCCCACAUUCCGAACAAGGCAGAGCCUGAACUUGAACUGCGGGUUGUCCAAAGCUCAGGAGAGAGUUUAAAGAAGAAUGAGGCGGGGAGGAGGAAUGAAAUGCCUCUGGUGGUUGAGCCCUCUCACCUGCCGGAGGAUGUCGGGUCCGUCUGUGGCUGGGAAGUCUUUGGAUCAACGCAGGAGUGUGGAUGUAAGAAAAAAUCCUGUGCAAAGCAUCUGUGCUGGGGAGGAUGCGACGAGCGAAACGCUCCCGAGCCCCCUUCUCCACACCAGCAUAAAACACAGUGCUGUCGGUGGCUCUGAGGCUGCCCUAAGCCCAGCGUGGCGUUGUCCCCGCUCUGCUGGCUCUUGGCUGGAGCUGCUGGCACAUCACCUGUGCACGUGUGUGCAUGCAAGGAAGAAAG
rnacentral:lncRNA from 1 species